GUAAGGACAAAGUGUUGCAAGUGCGUGAAGCCAGGUUCAAGUCGUGGUUGUGCCAAGAGCAUUUUAAUGCCGGGCGUCGUUGUUAAUUAAUUCCACCCGAGACGAGAAAGAGUUAAGUAGAAUAAAAAAUAAGUUAAAGCAAGUGUAGGCGUGAUGGUCUAGUGGUAAGGACAAAUUGUUGCAAGUGCUUGAAGCCAGGUUCAAGUCGUGGUUGUGCCAAGAGCAUUUUAAUGCCGGGCGUCGUUGUUAAUUAAUUCCACCCGAGACGAGAAAGAGUUAAGUAGAAUAAAAAAGAAGUUAAAGAAGUGUAGGC